GGAAAGGCGCGCGAUACAGGGUGACAGCCCCGUACACAAAAAUGCACAUGCUGUGAGCUCGAUGAGUAGGGCGGGACACGUGGUAUCCUGUCUGAAUAUGGGGGGACCAUCCUCCAAGGCUAAAUACUCCUGACUGACCGAUAGUGAACCAGUACCGUGAGGGAAAGGCGAAAAGAACCCCGGCGAGGGGAGUGAAAAAGAACCUGAAACCGUGUACGUACAAGCAGUGGGAGCACGCUUAGGCGUGUGACUGCGUACCUUUUGUAUAAUGGGUCAGCGACUUAUAUUCUGUAGCAAGGUUAACCGAAUAGGGGAGCCGAAGGGAAACCGAGUCUUAACUGGGCGUUAAGUUGCAGGGUAUAGACCCGAAACCCGGUGAUCUAGCCAUGGGCAGGUUGAAGGUUGGGUAACACUAACUGGAGGACCGAACCGACUAAUGUUGAAAAAUUAGCGGAUGACUUGUGGCUGGGGGUGAAAGGCCAAUCAAACCGGGAGAUAGCUGGUUCUCCCCGAAAGCUAUUUAGGUAGCGCCUCGUGAAUUCAUCUCCGGGGGUAGAGCACUGUUUCGGCAAGGGGGUCAUCCCGACUUACCAACCCGAUGCAAACUGCGAAUACCGGAGAAUGUUAUCACGGGAGACACACGGCGGGUGCUAACGUCCGUCGUGAAGAGGGAAACAACCCAGACCGCCAGCUAAGGUCCCAAAGUCAUGGUUAAGUGGGAAACGAUGUGGGAAGGCCCAGACAGCCAGGAUGUUGGCUUAGAAGCAGCCAUCAUUUAAAGAAAGCGUAAUAGCUCACUGGUCGAGUCGGCCUGCGCGGAAGAUGUAACGGGGCUAAACCAUGCACCGAAGCUGCGGCAGCGACACUAUGUGUUGUUGGGUAGGGGAGCGUUCUGUAAGCCUGUGAAGGUGUACUGUGAGGUAUGCUGGAGGUAUCAGAAGUGCGAAUGCUGACAUAAGUAACGAUAAAGCGGGUGAAAAGCCCGCUCGCCGGAAGACCAAGGGUUCCUGUCCAACGUUAAUCGGGGCAGGGUGAGUCGACCCCUAAGGCGAGGCCGAAAGGCGUAGUCGAUGGGAAACAGGUUAAUAUUCCUGUACUUGGUGUUACUGCGAAGGGGGGACGGAGAAGGCUAUGUUGGCCGGGCGACGGUUGUCCCGGUUUAAGCGUGUAGGCUGGUUUUCCAGGCAAAUCCGGAAAAUCAAGGCUGAGGCGUGAUGACGAGGCACUACGGUGCUGAAGCAACAAAUGCCCUGCUUCCAGGAAAAGCCUCUAAGCAUCAGGUAACAUCAAAUCGUACCCCAAACCGACACAGGUGGUCAGGUAGAGAAUACCAAGGCGCUUGAGAGAACUCGGGUGAAGGAACUAGGCAAAAUGGUGCCGUAACUUCGGGAGAAGGCACGCUGAUAUGUAGGUGAAGUCCCUCGCGGAUGGAGCUGAAAUCAGUCGAAGAUACCAGCUGGCUGCAACUGUUUAUUAAAAACACAGCACUGUGCAAACACGAAAGUGGACGUAUACGGUGUGACGCCUGCCCGGUGC
rnacentral:rRNA from 1 species